rnacentral:piRNA from 1 species
UGCCUGUGAGGAUGUGUAUGGGGCAG